GAUGAACGCUAGCGGCAGGCUUAAUACAUGCAAGUCGAGGGACAGCACAGGUAGCAAUACUGGGUGGUAACCGGCAAACGGGUGCGGAGCACGUACACAACCUUCCUUUAAGUGGGGGAUAGCCCAGAGAAAUUUGGAUUAAUACCCCGUAAUAUAGUUGAAUGGCAUCAUUUGAUUAUUAUAGCUACGGCGCUUAAUGAUGGGUGUGCGGCUGAUUAGAUAGUUGGCGGGGUAACGGCCCACCAAGUCUACGAUCAGUAGCUGAUGUGAGAGCAUGAUCAGCCACACGGGCACUGAGAAACGGGCCCGACUCCUACGGGAGGCGGCAGUAAGGAAUAUUGGUCAAUGGACGCAAGUCUGAACCAGCCAUGCCGCGUGAAGGAUUAAGGUCCUCUGGAUUGUAAACUUCUUUUAUUUGGGACGAAAAAGGGCCUUUCUAGGUCAACUGACGGUACCAGAUGAAUAAGCACCGGCUAACUCCGUGCCAGCCGCCGCGGUAAAAC
rnacentral:rRNA from 1 species